rnacentral:lncRNA from 1 species
CGGCCUUUGGUGCAGCUGUAAGUCGGAUGGAAUCCACCUUCCUGACGUCAGACCCACCCACUGGAACACUGCUCCUCUGACUGGGGCUUCCCUGAAUGGAAACUACAUGUCAUACUGCAAAAACAACUUCUGAAAGAGAAAAAAGUCUUUGUCUCAGUUUCUGCUCUCCAGAGGUAACCCAAAGGUAAAAGGUAAGGAACCCAGUGAGAAAGACAGAGAGAAGUAUGGACAAGAAACAGAUCCUAAACCUGUUUUGUUUUAUUUUUGGUAGUAGUUGUUUAUUUUUGAAAACAUUCAAACCACCUGUAUUGGUGGCUGUUAUUAUGAAAUAAAUAAACUGAGAAACAACAAGACAAUUUGGCCUCUACAAUUUGUUUAGUUUUGACUAAGUAUUUGCCUUGGAAGAAGUAUGUGUACAAUACUCAUUUUUAAAAGAUGCAACAGUCACCUCGUUACUUGGAGUUUUACUUGAGACUUGAAUGGACUGAAACCACCUGGUCACCACUAGAAGCUACAUCAAGGAAAAGAAAGGCAACAUAUUGAAUCUCUUGGGAGAAACUCAUCCUGUAUCUGCUCGAUUGAAAACAUGAAGGUGCACAUUCCAAGCUGCAUAUGCUCAGGUCCGAGUUUCCAAGGAAACAAGGGACUGCUCAUCUAUCUGCAAAACUGAACUGACGAGUCACUUUC